CGCUAGGUUGCUAAAAGCAGUCUUCGAAGAAGAGCUUUUACCGUGUCUUACCAAGACAACAGUAACCACAAAGAAUGCGUUCCAUGCACAAUUGUAAGAGUUAAAUCGUGAGAACAGUCUCACCCGAGUCUAAACCAGCACAAUUAGCUACAAUUGCUGUACUUGUGGGUAUCUUGUUGCAGUGACAAGUAGCCUGACCGGCUUUAUGAAAUCGCGUAGGUUAGCUAGGCCUCGAGGCGUUAGCCAGCUAACUUGCUAACAUAAUCCUUUUCUCAAAGCAUGUAUCCUUCAUGGGGAAGCUAUGGCGGCGCACAACAACCUCAACAUUUCGGUCCUAGAAAUCAGCAGUUCAGGGGUCCACAACCACCAGGAGCAGGAUUUGUUGGAUAUGGGACGUCGCCUGCGCCACCUUCCAAUUUUUCAAGUUUACACGAACAGCACCUGCAACAAAUGCAACAACUACAACAGCUUCAUCAGAGGCAGCUGCAGUCUAUGUUACAGCACAAUGCUAUCUCCGGUUUUGGCAGUGGUUUGGGUUCAGAUCCUCCUGGACCCUGGCAAGGAGGUGGUAUAGCUUUUUCUUCUGGUCCUGGUAACAUUGUAUCCACCAGCAACUUCGGUGAUCAGCCGUCGCACAUGAGAGGUCUGGGAAACCAUAUUCCGCCACCUGUGCCCCAACAGCCUGAACCUUCCUCCUCAUCGCCUGCUGUGUCUAAAAGCUCUGCGCCAGCACCGCAGAACACAAACGGCAGCGAAAAUGUACAAAAGAUGAGCGAUUCCACCAAAUCGGAACCGAACGGCAAAGCCGACCUUUCGUCUAUGUCUUUACAGGAACAGCAGGACUACUGGUACAAACAGCACCUUCAGAAUCUGCAGAAGUUAAAGAAUGAAAAGGCAAAGCAAAUUCAGGAUGCAGGUGUUGAAGCCCCACCAGUACCUCCACCUCCAGCUGAACCACCCAAGAGUGCCCCACCACCGCCACCCCCCAAAGAGGAGCCGCCUCCUCCUCCUCCACCUGAGGACACUAAGGUAAUUGAUA
ensembl:lncRNA